rnacentral:rRNA from 1 species
UACGUAGGGGGCGAGCGUUGUCCGGAGUUACUGGGCGUAAAGGGCAUGCAGGCGGUCCGACACGUUUUGUGUGACAGCGGGUGGCUUAACUACCCGAGGAUACGAAAGACGGUUGGACUUGAGGACUCGAGAGGGACACGGAAUUCCCGGUGUAGCGGUGAAAUGCGCAGAUAUCGGGAAGAACACCCGUGGCGAAGGCGGUUCUCUGGGACGGUACUGACGCUGAGACGCGAAAGCGUGGGGAGCGAACAGG